CGGUACGCGAGCUGGGUUCAGAACGUCGUGAGACAGUUCGGUCCCUAUCCGUCGUGGGCGUAGGAAAUUUGAGAGGAGCUGUCCUUAGUACGAGAGGACCGGGAUGGACAUACCUCUGGUGUACCAGUUGUCGUGCCAACGGCAUAGCUGGGUAGCUAUGUGUGGACGGGAUAAGUGCUGAAAGCAUCUAAGCAUGAAGCCCCCCUCAAGAUGAGAUUUCCCAACUUCGGUUAUAAGAUCCCUCAAAGAUGAUGAGGUUAAUAGGUUCGAGGUGGAAGCAUGGUGACAUGUGGAGCUGACGAAUACUAAUCGAUCGAAGACUUAAUCAA
rnacentral:rRNA from 1 species